UUCCUCAGCAAAAGAGGAGGAUUGGCAGCAGAUGUUAGCUCAGGGCUCAUCUUCCUCAAAAAAAUAAAUGCCCUUGCUAAGUCCACGGAGAUAACUGGGGCUCCAUCUCUGACAUGACUCCCCCUCUGUAAGCCACCCAGGUAGGUGAUGGUUACGAGCUGAAUUGCUUCCCCCAAAUCCAUAUGUUGAAGUCCUAACCCCUAAUACCUCAGAGUGAGACCAUAUCUGGAGAUAGGGUUUUUAAGGAGGUAAUUGAGGUUAAAUGAGGUCAUGAGAGGGUCCCUAAUUGAAAAUGACUAGUGUCCUUAUAAAGGGAGAUUAGGACACAGACAUACAAAGAGGGAAGACCGCGUGAAGACGCGGGAAGAAGACAGCCACCUGGAAGCCAAGGAGAGAGGCCUCAGGGGAAACCAACCUUACCGACACCUUGAUCUUAGACUUCCAGCAUCCAGAACUAGGAGGAUAAAUUUCUGUUGCUUAAGCUACCCAAGCUGUGGUCCUUUAUGGCAGCCCAGCAAACUAAUACAGUAAUGCUAUGCAGUCGUGUGCCACGUAACAACGUUUCAGUCAACCACAGACCACGUAUACCAUGGUGGUCCCCUAAGGUUAGCACCAUACGGCCUAGGUGUGUAGUAGGUUGUGCCGUCUAGGUUUGUGUACGUGCACGCUAUGACGUUCACACAACAAAACACCUAAUGACGCAUUUCUCACAAUUCAUCCCCAUCAUUAAGUGACGCAUGACUGCAUUUUGUUCAGAGAUAACUGAGGGCUUAGAACGUCUGUGUUUUUUACUUAACCAAUCUCCUCUGGCAAAAGCAAGAUAUGAUUCUUCCCAGUGCUCCUCCUGGGUCCUCUGCUGGAUUCUAGAAUCCCCCAGGAUGCUGUCAAAACCAAAGCCCAGGGCCCAGAUUCCAGAGAGUCUCAUUAACGGGGAAAGGCAAGGUUCAUGUUCUCCAAGCUCCCCAGGAGGUUCCAAUGUGCAGCCAGAAUGGAGCACCCCCACUCUACGGCUCAGAUCAUAAAUUUCUAAAAUCUGGGCCAGCCAAGUUUCACAGGCUGAAUAAUGGCCCCUGAAACAGGUCUUACCUGCAUCCUAAUCCGCAGAACCUAUGAACAUUACCUUAUGUGAUUAAGUUAAGGAUCGUGAGGUCCAAAUUAUCCUGGAUUAUGGGGUGGGCCCUAAAUGUAAUCACAAGUCCUCAUAAGAAGGUCAAAUGAGGAAGAAGGUGAUGUGAUGUUGGAAGCAGAGGGAUGUAAGGCAACGUGAUGCACGCUGUGAACAAGGGGAUGCUGGUGACCUCUAGAAGCUGGAAAAGGCAAGGAAAUGGAUGCCCUGUUAGAUCAUCCAAGAGGACCUGCCCUGCUGACACCUGAUUGUAGCCCUGUAGGACUCAUCCUAGACGUCCACCCUCCAGAACUGCAAGAGAGACAUUGCACUGUUUCAAGCCAUCCAGUCCGUGGUAACUGUUACAGUAGCCACAGGCAACUAGGACACUAGAGCUCCCCUGAGGAGCUGGGGGAAAAUGCAGACGCCCAGCCUUUUCAAAGCUCCAUGGUCAGUGGGGGUCACGCUCCCAUGGGCAUCUGACUCCACUGAGGCUCUUUUUCAAACCCAGACCCUGGGCCCCACGCCCCAGAAUUUCUGAUUCAGCAGGACUGGGGUGGGGCCCGAGAAUCUGCAUUCUAACAAAUUCCCAGGUGGGCUUGGAGAACCACCGCUGUAGAUGCUUCUGAGGCACAGACCAGAAUGCCACGAUCACAAUCCCAGUGAAGGACCUGGAGUCCAUUGCACACAAAAGUUUCUAUCACCUGUUUCCUCAUCUGCACCUAGAAGGGGAAGAUUUUUCCUUAAUUCAGAGAAUUGUGAACAUCAAAUGACAUAAUGCAUUAUUACCUGUCACUGUUUCUGUACACACUCCCACCUCCAGCAAAACCUAACCAAAUCAAAAUGCACUUCCUCAAAGCAACAAAAAACGCCCCUUAUCUCUUUUUUUUCUGCUGGUGAGCACGCAAACCUGGCUGCUCCAACAUCUCCUCUCCGGGCUGUCUCUGUCUCGGGGAUUUAGGCCAGGGAUCUCACCUGAGCGUGAAUCAGCUCUCCUGGGGGUGUCUGGAAACCCAGGGGACAUUUCUGGCUGCCACCACGACUGGGGGAGUGCUACUGGCAUUUUGUGGGGAGGGGCCAAGGAUGCACCAUCCAUCCUGCAAGGUUCAGGAUAGUCCUACAGAAGGAGGAAGGUCCUGCCCUAAAUGCCAUUGUGUCCCUAGGCAAAAGAUGAAGGCUCAUUGGUCAUCUGGUUUCCAAUUGUGGCCUGUGGGUUGUCCCCCAGGUUCAGAGGGUCACUGAAGGACUUUCAUUCUGAAGGCCUUUGCUGGCUACAGACAGCCAGCCAAAAAAAGACCUUACAAGGCCUGUUCUCCAGAGUCUAGACUCCACGACUUGCCCCUCCCCCUUAAUACCAUUUCGUGAGAGCCCCCUACCCACUGAUGAGGGGACCAUAUCCCCUCCUUGCCACAGCACCAGGAUUACAUCGUAUUUGUUUUUAAUCCUCCAGAGCAAAAGAUGGGCAGCUGCCUGGCGGAGCCAUAGCCAAUUGAAGGAACCCUCAGAAUGCCCUGUCCGGAUGCCAAGGAUAGGUUCACCCUUCUGCGCAGUGAAGCACACCACCUGCCCAUGGCUGAUGAGGACGACGCCUCCCUGAGGUCCACCCAGAAAACGGCUGUUCUCAACACCACGGGAGAGCGCCCCAUGGGCACAGGGAGGCAGCCUGCUUUACGCCCUCACUCCACACUCCCUCUGCCUUAAGGCUGCAGGAUCUCCUUACUCCACAACGAAACAGAGCAGAGACCACAGGGCACAUUUCAGAAAUGCCUCAGAACAUCCAGCUGGUGGAACGCCAGGCUCUAGGCCCAAUUCUGUCACUAUCUAGGGCCAACUGUGUAAGUCUGGACACCUCAGUCGACCUAUCUGGGCCUCAGCUUUAAGUCCACAAAAAGGGGUUUGUGUGGCUAUAUGGUCUAAGGAACGUUCCAGCUCUACGUUCCACGAUCUGAGGAUAGGAUAUGGCUUCUAUAAGCCUGCUUUGCUCUGGACACUGGCACCUCAUGUUUUCUACGUGGGAUGUUGGCUCAGCCAUCGGGGGACUGCAGUUGGCAUCAUGGAUUCUCAACAGCAAAGCAGUCUCCUUCCCAUCCUCAGAGACAGAAAGCAGCAGGCAGGCCCGGCACUACGUGGACCUCAACUUUAUAGUGAGUGGCUCGCCAGGACCAAAAAUCUGCCUCCUUCAAUAUUCACCUCGGGGCUCGACCACAGCGCCCACUCUGCACUUAGUGCACCAACCCAAUAUCACAGGGCCCCUGGGUGCAGGGAGAAUGAGGAACCAGAUUAAAGCGACACUGUCAUAAAUAGCAUCCCUCUCUGUUUUCAAUAUCACUUGAACUGCAUUCCCGUAAGGGACAGGUCAGAGUUUCCUGCUUGCCCACUGAAGGCUGGGGGCUCAUGAGACCUAUCAUGAUCAUUCAAUUGUUGGAGAAAAGAUAUUCAAAAUUACUCUCAGCUCCCCCACUUAGAAGCACUACCAUUUAAUAAGUUUCAACCACGUGCUGGGCAGACAACACAAGUCUAAACGUCCCAGCAAACCCUACGGUAAAACCCCCACUUACAGAUGGGCACCUAAGGACCUCGCUUCCUUUGCACAGGAGCUUCAUAAAAACGCUUUCUGCCUUGUUCUCAGUGACUGGUGAGGGAACAGCGUUCCACCAAUAUCUGUUGAAUGCAAGAUCCUUUUCAAAAUGGCAAAAGGAGUUUCAUAUGGAAGUGUGACUGCGACCCCCCCUUCUCCCCCUCAUAAGUGUCUCAUUAAGAGCUGCAAGGACCUAAUAAAUGAAUCCCUCUGGCUCAUUACACGCUGACCCCAGAGAUUUGUCUUCUCCCUGGAGAAGUGAACACAAAGCGGGGAAUCACAAGAGAUUCCCGAGAAGGCGGUGGACCUUCCUAUCCCAUCCGCCAAGAAUUUCUCAAGUUUAAGAAGUAAGGUGGUUCUUAGCCAAUCACAAACAGCCUAGAAAAGAUCUGAAGAUUGAUCACCAGUUCUUUCCUUGGCUCUGUGACUCUUCACUCCUUCCCAGGCACCAACCAGGAAAGAAGUGUUUGUUUAAAAGCCCCAGGGAAGCUCGCGGCUCCCUUCGGGACUCACGCCCUCCUCUGGCCCAAGCUCCCACCGCAGGCGAUCCCUUGUACGCAGACCUCUGAGGUCCGAGGGCACAAGAAAACUGACUUCUAACUUUCCAGGUUGCAAACAAAGCAGUUUAAAGCCAGAGUCCUCCAAACAGGGAGGAGCCCUGGACUGUCUUCCACUUCGGUGCUGUAAAGAAAUCUCAGAAUCCCCAAAGCAUUGCGCUGCAGGGGAAAACCUCAGAACAGAAAAGGGCUACUUGGGGAAGGAAAAAAAACACAGGCGGAAGCUUGCAAAAGAGCAAGCACGCAGUUCUCCCACGUGGUCCGCGGGGCAGGGAGCCUAGCAGAGCGGAAGCGUGAAAUUGGCAGCGCUCAGGGAGAGGGUCUCACCAGCUGCAGGCCCCCCUCACCUGGCACAGAAGUUCUCACGGAAGGGAGAUUCCUCCAGAAGAAGGAACUGGCGGUUCCCGAAGGUUCCCUCCAGCUGCUAACCCGGGGCGGGACGCGGUUUGCUCUUCCUACCACAGUAAUUCGACCGGGGGGUUUGCUCCUUUGCCUGAAUUCCUGGAGGACAGAGCAGGAAUGGGGUUGACCCGAGGCUCAGGAAUGACAAAAAGGAAAUAGAGUAACAUGUUGCUGGGUAAACUUUUUGAUUUACCAACUAUGGCUUACUCAUCUUCAAUUUGGGAGGAGGCUUUUAAAGGGCAUGAGACGCUGCCUCGCUCACAUCCCCGGCUAUCCUGAACCCCUCCCACCUCGGACAACGGCCCAGACACCUAGGUUCAGAAUCCAGAGUCACAUUUUCAUCAUUCAACACUGGCUGGUCACCACCAUCCCGCCCCCUGCCCCAAACGCACGCACACGCACACACACACACACGCAGACACACACCCCAACACCACCACCAGCCCUCCGCUGGGAUAAUCCCUUACUCUCAAAAUGCCCAUCCUUUCCCUACUGGGAUAAUCCAAUUUACCCUCCUUUGAUGGAUUAAGCUCUCCUAAACAGAAUGGGUGAGAGUGAUGUUCUGAGAUGCAGAAAUGUUGCGGAUUACUCUGGGGGUGGGAGCAUGGCUGUGGAAGUGAAAUGAGAAGGAAAAAGUUAAAAAAUCUUCCCCAGAGCACAAACUUUGAGAUGAGCUUUGCUAGCGGCGUCUGGGCAUAUUCAACGUAAUCAACUGUUGUUUAAAACUAACCAGGUUUUCUGUCCCUCCUUACUAUGUGAGUGAGCUGUCUUUCCCAGGAAGUCAAGGUCCAAACAUCAAGAUCCAGCCUCACUAGGCCAAAUGCAGGCUGAAGACGAAAACUAAAGAGAAAAGUCCAGACAGUCAAGGGAAAAGAAAUUCAGGCUUCAAGGCUGCACGCAGGCUGGUGGGAAGGCGCCAACCAGCAAGCCCUUCAGGGACGUGGUUUUCUAGGAGCCGGUCUGCUGAUCGCUGUGUUGGGGAGCAGGAGACCCGUUACUCACAGGGGAACCACUGCAGGACACAGAUACCAUGUGCAUCUUUAACAGUGAAAAAAAUGCGUAACUUCUCAAACAAGAUAUCUGACGCCCGAGUCUGAACCCUUCUCAAUAAGAAGUAAUAAAAGUUACAGCUUAGGUAAGGGGUCAGCAAACCUUGCUUACCAAGAGGCAACAACAUAGGAGUGUGUGAAGCUCGGGCACGUAGGCAAUGUCUAGUCAAAUGAGCGUGGCUGUAUUCCAGUACAACUUUAUGGACACUAAAACUUGAAUCUCACAUGAGAAAACAUUUUAUUUUCUUUAGAUUUUUUUCCCAACCACUUAAGACUGUAAAAACCAUUCUUAGUUUGAAGCUCUGAAGAAACAGGUGGAGAGCUGGUUUGGCUGAGGACAUGGGCCAUUGUUUUCCACUCUCCUUCCAGAAUCAGAUGGCUGUUGGGUACCCUUGUUGGACAAUGCUUUAAUGUGUCUUUGAAAAGACAGACAAUAGUCUUUUUGGCUUAUUUCCAAGUUUUGGAUAAUUUUUUCAUAGCAAGCCCUAGAAUAAAAGGGGGACAAACUUUCUAACAAUCAGUGGUCUCCCUUUUUGCUUGGUCUGAGGAAUCUUCAACAGGACAACAGAAGGAUCUAGAGUCUCUCUCUGAGAGUAGCAUCUUGCCCUUCCCUUCUGUUCUUGCCCUAUACAUUCCCUCUGAUCACCUGUACCCUUGUUUUUCUGAAGACAAUUCUAAGAAAGGACUCAGGCCACCUUACAAAAAUUCUAAUUAUGAAACUGUAUGGAUAUUUCAGUCGCUUCCUCUUUUUUCAGAUAAUCCCUCAUACAUACCUCCCCAACUUGCAGCUCCUAGCCAACAAGCUGCUGAGCUGGUGUUGCCAAUAGCUGUCCGUUUCAGGUCUCAAGCAAUGAUCCAUCAGUGUCCCACAGUUGCCUUGGAGGGGGAGAACCUACGAUAAUUUAUGUCUUUAAACAUGACUAAAUUGCACGCUAAUUUUGAAGGCUUCUCCAGAUCAUUCCAGGAUCAUCAAAUAUUCAAGAGGAAAUACUCAUACAAAUGUAUGAAAUGUAUCAUCUCAGCCAAGCAUAUCAGCUUUCCCACUGAGUGGUCCCGUCUCUCCUCCUGAAUGUGUCAGGCCUGGACGGGUGCUACAAAGUUAGCCCAAGCUGGUUGGUAACCCCUCCUCAGCUAGGUGUGUUAAAGCUGUCGAGUUGUCAUGGCUGAAGUAACGCAUAUAAGUCCACACCACCUUAUAGAAAUUUGGGCCAAAAUAAAAAUUCUAAACAACCUGGUCCUUGCAGAUUCUCGAUAGCGUGUGACUCAGAUCUUGUUAUGAUACUCCCGUAUCACAGGAGUUGCAGUGAGUAGGGACAUUUUGGCCACUACUUUGUCAGUGGAUUAGAGUCUGGCAUUGGAAGCUUAGGGAAAAAGAUGAAAGUUCUGGUAGCAAGUAGCCACUCUGGAUACAGCAGAACACUGUCAACAAAGUAUCUUAAGAGGACAGUAAGAAAGUUAAUAAUAAUAAUAAUAAUAAAUGUAAAAAAUGUUUCCCCCCUUCAAAUUCCUAGCCAGGCAAGCCCAGGAAGGCAUAAAGACCCCAGAGAUGUCUGCACUGGUGUAAAUCCAGGUUCAAAAACCUCACUGGCAUCAUUGCACACAGUGUGGUCACUAGAAAAAAGAUUACUCCCAAAUAGACACAACAAACCUUAAUAAAAUUGUAUCCAGAGAAAUUUUUCUACAGAAAGUUGUCAAAAUAAGUAACUUCUCUUUACCCUGCCUCUAGGGGAAAGAAAUGGAUUUAAAAGGAAACAGUGGCUGGUGUUUAUUAGGAUAGAGAAGAAAAGAUAUAAAAAUAUGUACCAGGCCAGCCUGAAGGACAAGCAAACUACAAGAUGAAGCCUAAACCCCACACCCCUCCCUUGGUGAAGGGAGAAUGUUCAGCCUUGCUCUAAGGAGACACGGGCCUCACUUUCUGUCCUCCGUAUAGAAAAGGACCAAGAAGUUAGAGAUACUCAGAUGUAUUUUAACUUUACAGUUGAAACAUAAUCUGCUCUGCUCAGUACGUCAGGACUGAGCUGUGAUGGUGUCAUGGACGGAAUGUUUGUGUCCCUCCCACAUUCGUGUGUUGAAACUCUAACCAGCAGCGUCAUGGUAUUAGGAGGUGGGGCCCUUGGGAGGCGAUCAGGUCGUGAAGGCGGAGCCCUCGUAAAUAGGGUUCGUGCUUUUACGAAAGAGACCCCAGAGAGCUCCCUCACCCCUUCUGCCAUGUGAAGACACAGCGAGAGGAGCGCUGUCUGCGACCCAGGAAGAAGGCCUUCACCAGACGCUGCGUCUGCCAGCACCUUGAUCUUGGACUCCAGCCUCCAGAACGGUGAGAAAUAAAGGCUUGCUGUUAAGCCACCUGGCCCGUGGUGUUUUCUUAUAGCAGCCCCAACUGACUAAGACGUUGAGAGACUCGUAAGACAGGCCCUUGAGUGGCCUCUGCUCCUCAUUCUACUGUUAGAACUUAAGGCACACCUGUGGGCAGCAGAGAAAAAUUAAAAUAGAAGAAAUAAUGUAAGAGCAUUUCUUUCUUUCCUUGCUAAAUCCAUGUGUUGUCUGCAAAUAAAGACUUAAAAAUAAAUGGGAAUGGGGUCAUGGUUGUCUUCUGAGCAUCUUCAAGAGCAACAUUAAAAAUAGCUAGUAUUUACUGAGAACCAUAUACUCUUCGUUUAACCCUUACAGCCACCUUUCCACCCGGGUGCCGCUCUAAUCCCCAUUUUUCUGAUGAGCAGACCAAGAGAAGUUGAGUCCUUCUCACCUCUCUUUUGUGCUUAUUGCUUCUUUCAAAAGCUUCCUUGUCUUUUUGGGCCCUUGUGGUCUUUCCUCUCUCCUCCCCACCAAAAAAAAUCAAUCAAACCUUUCAUUCCUGCAAGUUGUAAAUGUCCAAUAUCAGCUUAAAAUGUUACCUCUCCCAGGGGUCCAUGAACUUUACAGAGAUGCAAACAAACUAAGAUAAUAAAACUCAAGGUGGAAUGUGAUGCUUGAGAAGCGCAUAGUAGGUGAUAUUAUCACUAUUAUUGCAUGAGACUCAGCACAUUUGAAGUCUUCUCAAACUUAUGUAACUCGGGUGAUCGGGAUUCAGUCCUAAAUCUGUCUUAACUACAGAGUCGGAUCUCUUAAUUACUAUCUGUUCUUCCCACGGUGUGCUGGGCCUCAAGCUAAGUGCCGAAGACAGAAAGAUGUAUGGCCUAUACACUCUGAGCCUAUAUGGAACUCCCAGAGCCAGAAAAAAAUGUGAAAAAAAUACCAAAGCCAAUGAGAUGAUAUGAAAAUGACGUCAGAGCUGUGGCUGGUCAGAAGCAUUAAAAGGAAUCCAGGAUGUUGGUGGUGGAGAAUUCAAUCUACUCAAAUCAGACAACAAAAGGAAGCAAGGAAGAAUUCAGUAAGAACUCAGUUGGUAUAAAUCACAAAAUCCCUAUGAAGGAUAUAAGCCUGAAGUCCCUGGGUGACGCAGCAAUUGUAAAGGGACCUCGCAGGUCUACCGCCAGCACAGAUGGACUCACUCAGGAAGCAGGGGAUUCUCCGGUCCUGGGACCUGGUCUGAAAUCUCUGACCUAUAUGGUCAUAUUGUGGUCACGGACACUGACCCAGGAAGCUCUGCUCACCCCAGUUGUAAACUGCUCCCCGUGCUGGGAUAAGUAUGGGGUGGUAUGAGGUGGUCUGGUGUGCGUGGACGAUCCUGAGAUCCCUGAUAGAAAUCAACUAACUCAUUUGAAUUAUUGUUAGUGUUCCCACUUUCCAUCUCAAAAGUGUCCCAGUUUAUGGGGCCAGCCAGGUGGUGCAGCGGUUAAGUUCUCACGUUCCGCUCCGGUGACCCAGGGUUUGCUGG